rnacentral:pre_miRNA from 1 species
GAAUGGAUGGUGUUCAGCACCAGGGACAGAUGUGUUUACCUGUGUGUGGAUGGUGUUCAUCACCAGGGACAGGUGUGUUUAUCU